GAUGAACGCUGGCGGCGUGCCUAAUACAUGCAAGUCGAACGAACAGACGCGGAGCUUGCUCCUCGCACGUUAGCGGCGGACGGGUGAGUCACACGUGUAUAACCUACCUAUAAGACUGGGAUAACUACGGGACACCGGAGCUAAUACCGGAUAAUAUAUUGCACCGCAGGGUGCGAUAGUGAAAUUCGGUGUUUCUGUCACGUAUAGAUGGAUAUGCGCCGCAUUAGCUGGUUGGUACGGUCACGGCUUACCAAGGCUACCAUGCGUAUCCGACGGGACAGGGUGAUAGGCCGCACUGGAGCUGGGCCACGGACAAGACUCCUACGGGACGCAGCAGUAGGGAAUCGGACGCAGCGGGGGAGAGUCUGACGGAGCAGCGGCGAGUGAGUGAUGAAGGUGUUGGGAGCGUGAAAAUCUGUUAUGAGGGAUGAACAAAUGUGGAAGUAACUAUGGCGGGCUUGACGGUAACGAAUAAGAAAGCAACGGCUAACUACGUG
rnacentral:rRNA from 1 species